rnacentral:lncRNA from 1 species
AGAGGGAAGGCAACGUAAAGACCCAAAGAGAGACCACCAUCUACAAGUCACAUCUACAAGUCAAGGAGAGAGGCCCAGGACAGAUUCUUUCCUCACAGCCCUCGGGAGGAAGCAACCCUGCCAACCCCCUGACUUCUAGCCUUCUUCAGAUUCUCAGCUUCUAGAACUGUGAGACGAUGCAUUUCUGCCAUUUAAGCCACCCGUUUGUGGUUGGCAUUGUUAUGGUGGCCCUAGCAAACUAAGACAACUCUAAAUUCUGCAAACAGUUCUCUAAACAAGGCUGAUAUAAUUAAAUUGCUACUUCUUAAGAUUUUCCUCUCUCCUUUAAAAAUGAAAGACCUGUAAAUAUAGACUGCCUAAAUGCUUCAUCAGUAAGAACUGGAGUCAUCUUACACAACUUCUUCAAGUAACAAUUAUGUGGAAAAAGUGUGCUAAUUUCAGUAAAAAGACAUCCUGCUGUUGUAAACUAGAAGGAAAGACGUUCCAGUGUUAAUCUCCAAGUGUAGCACCGUUAAGCGGCAGAAAAAAAAAGACUAAACGCUACCUACGCUCAAUGUUCCACACCUCUUAAGCCAGUAAUCCUGUAUCUGGUGUCGGGCAGCAAAGAAAAUAAAAUAUACCUCGUCUGUGCUCCAUUUGGAAACUUUACUGGCAGGGAUUCCUGCGACAGUUGGAAGAAGUUUGCUUUGCUGCUCCCAGCGCAAGGGCAGACAUGGAAUUGGGGA